AGGACGAACGCUGGCGGCGUGCUUAACACAUGCAAGUCGAGCGGAAAGGCCCUUCGGGGUACUCGAGCGGCGAACGGGUGAGUAACACGUGAGUAAUCUGCCCCUAGCUCUGGGAUAGCUCCGGGAAACCGGGAUUAAUACCGGAUACGACCACUUUAGACAUCUGUUGUGGUGGAAAGAAUUUUGGCUAGGGAUGAGCUCGCGGCCUAUCAGCUUGUUGGUGGGGUAACGGCCUACCAAGGCGACG
rnacentral:rRNA from 1 species